UACGAAGGGGGCUAGCGUUGUUCGGAAUCACUGGGCGUAAAGCGCACGUAGGCGGAUCCUUAAGUCAGAGGUGAAAUCCCAAGGCUCAACCUUGGAACUGCCUUUGAUACUGGGGAUCUUGAGUCCGGGAGAGGUGAGUGGAACUGCGAGUGUAGAGGUGAAAUUCGUAGAUAUUCGCAAGAACACCAGUGGCGAAGGCGGCUCACUGGCCCGGUACUGACGCUGAGGUGCGAAAGCGUGGGGAGCAAACAGGG
rnacentral:rRNA from 1 species